rnacentral:rRNA from 1 species
UGAGGAAUAUUGGACAAUGGAUGGAAAUCUGAUCCAGCCAUGCCGCGUGCAGGAAGACGGCCCUAUGGGUUGUAAACUGCUUUUGUAUGGGAGCAAUAAGGACUACGUGUAGUUUGAUGAGAGUACCAUACGAAUAAGCAUCGGCUAACUCCGUGCCAGCAGCCGCGGUAAUACGGAGGAUGCGAGCGUUAUCCGGAUUUAUUGGGUUUAAAGGGUGCGUAGGCGGCGAUAUAAGUCAGUGGUGAAAUAUUUCGGCUUAACCGAGAGACUGCCAUUGAUACUGUGUUGCUAGAAUAUGGUUGCUGUGAGUGGAAUGUGUUGUGUAGCGGUGAAAUGCUUAGAUAUCACACAGAAUAUCGAUUGCGAAGGCAGCUCACAAAGCCAUUAUUGACGCUGAGGCACGAAAGUGUGGGGAUCAAACA